GAUGAACGCUAGCUACAGGCUUAACACAUGCAAGUCGCGGGGCAGCAUGGGGGUUGCUUGCAACCCCUGAUGGCGACCGGCGCACGGGUGAGUAACGCGUAUCCAACCUGCCCUUCACCACGGGAUAACCCGGCGAAAGUCGGACUAAUACCGUAUGUUGUCCAUUGACGGCAUCCGAUUUGGACGAAAGGCUUAGCGGUGAGGGAUGGGGAUGCGUCCGAUUAGCUCGACGGCGGGGUAACGGCCCACCGUGGCAACGAUCGGUAGGGGUUCUGAGAGGAAGGUCCCCCACACUGGAACUGAGACACGGUCCAGACUCCUACGGGAGGCAGCAGUGAGGAAUAUUGGUCAAUGGGCGGAAGCCUGAACCAGCCAAGUAGCGUGCGGGAUGACGGCCCUAUGGGUUGUAAACUGCUUUUGUGCGGGGAUAAAGUGGCCCACGUGUGGGGUUUGCAGGACCGCAUGAAUAAGACCGCA
rnacentral:rRNA from 1 species